AGCCAGCAUGGUACAAUGGCUUGAGUGUUCAACUAGGAUUCUGGAGACCAGGGUUCAAAUCCCUGCUUGGCUA